rnacentral:rRNA from 1 species
CAAUAGCGUAUAUUAAAGUUGUUGCAGUUAAAAAGCUCGUAGUUGGAUCUGUGGUGUGCGGUGGGCUCCGGGCACUUGUUGUCUGAGUAGCUCGCCGCUGCCAUCCUUGGGUGGAACCUGUGUGGCAUUAGGUUGUCGUGCAGGGGAUGCCCAGCGUUUACUGUGAAAAAAUUAGAGUGUUCAAAGCAGGCUUAUGCCGUUGAAUAUAUUAGCAUGGAAUAAUGAGAUAGGACUUUUUCGCUAUUUUGUUGGUUUGCGCGAAGAGGUAAUGAUUAAUAGGGACAGUUGGGGGUAUUCGUAUUCCAUUGUCAGAGGUGAAAUUCUUGGAUUUUUGGAAGACGAACUACUGCGAAAGCAUUUACCAAGGAUGUUUUCAUUAA